GACGAACGCUGGCGGCGUGCUUAACACAUGCAAGUCGAACGGAAAGGCCCCUCUGGGGGUACUCGAGUGGCGAACGGGUGAGUAACACGUGAGUAACCUGCCCUGCAUUUCGGGAUAACUUCAGGAAACUGGGGCUAAUACCGGAUAGGAAUCCUUGCCGCAUGGUGGGGGUUGGAAAGCUUCGGGGGUUUUGGAUGGAUUCGGGGCUUAUCAGUUUGUUGGUGGGGUAGUGGCUUACCAAGGCUUUGACGGGUAGCCGGCCUGAGAGGGCGAACGGCCACAUUGGGAAUGGGAUACGGCCCAGAGCCCUGCGGGAGGCAGGAGUGGGGAAUAUUGCACAAUGGGCGGGAGCCUGAUGCAGCAACGCCGCGUGCGGGGUGACGGCCUUCGGGUUGUAAACCGCUUUCAGCAGGGGAGAAGCUUGUGGUGACGGUACCUGCAGAAGAAGCACCGGCUAACUACGUG
rnacentral:rRNA from 1 species